AGUCGAGGGGUAUAGUCUUCGGAUUAGAGACCGGCGCACGGGUGCGUAACGCGUAUGCAAUCUACCUUUUACAGAGGGAUAGCCCAGAGAAAUUUGGAUUAAUACCUCAUAGCAUAGCAGCUUCGCAUGAAGCCACUAUUAAAGUCACAACGGUAAAAGAUGAGCAUGCGUCCCAUUAGCUAGUUGGUAAGGUAACGGCUUACCAAGGCUACGAUGGGUAGGGGUCCUGAGAGGGAGAUCCCCCACACUGGUACUGAGACACGGACCAGACUCCUACGGGAGGCAGCAGUGAGGAAUAUUGGACAAUGGGCGCAAGCCUGAUCCAGCCAUGCCGCGUGCAGGAUGACGGUCCUAUGGAUUGUAAACUGCUUUUAUACGAGAAGAAACACUCCUUCGUGAAGGAGCUUGACGGUAUCGUAAGAAUAAGGAUCGGCUAACUCCGUGCCAGCAGCCGCGGUAAUACGGAGGAUCCAAGCGUUAUCCGGAAUCAUUGGGUUUAAAGGGUCCGUAGGCGGUUUAGUAAGUCAGUGGUGAAAGCCCAUCGCUCAACGGUGGAACGGCCAUUGAUACUGCUAAACUUGAAUUAUUAGGAAGUAACUAGAAUAUGUAGUGUAGCGGUGAAAUGCUUAGAGAUUACAUGGAAUACCCAUUGCGAAGGCAGGUUACUACUAAUGGAUUGACGCUGAUGG
rnacentral:rRNA from 1 species